GUCCCGCCCACAGGGCUCUUGUUUCUGAGCGCAGCGACGCCCCGCCCUCCGCUGGAAGUCCCGCCCAUCGUGCGAAGUCCCGCCCUCUACAGGAAGUCCGGUCCCCAGCGUCUAAACACCAUUAGUCACCGAGCCGAGAGGACGUCAUCCGAGUGGUCGCCCUGGGCCUCUGCCUUCGGCCCCAGGAGGGGGCGCUCGCACCCUGGCUGGCGUCCACGCGCGAGGAGCCCCAGUCCUUUCCGCAGGGUGUUUCCUUGCUUCACAGCCGCGUGUGGCCGAGGCGGGGCGCAGGGCCACGGGAAGAUGUUGCCAGGGGAGUAUCGGCAGCCUCAGCGGCGCAGCGGGCGCACCCCUGCUUCCGGCGCCCGCGUGCACCCCUGUCCAGGUCUGGAGGCUCACCGUCCAGGAAAGUACCCCCGGCUUCCGAGAGCGUCCCUCGCGAGAGCAAGUGGCCACGUGUUUCGCUGCUUCCCUCGCGGACGCCCAGGUGCCGGCCUUUCCACCCGCUCUCCUUGCAAACGGCGAGGCCUGGCCGCGCGGGAGUGACGGCGGCGCCCCACGUGGGUCGCGGGCUUCAGCUGUUCACGUUGGGCAGCCUCAGGAAUGGGAGGCAAAGAGAUCGAAUCCCCACAUGGCGCCAGCUCCAUAAGUCAACACUCCGCACAGAUAACCACGAGAAGACAUUGCUGUGGUCAGUCAGCCCCGCUGCGCCGAUCCCGGCGCGAUGGGGGCGGGCGUGGGCGCUGCUGCACUCGAUGCCCACGCCUGUGUGCCCGCCUGCCAUGUCCCUGCACCCCGCCGGGCGCCUUAUGUCCCCCCUGUUUCCCCAGGGUCCCGCAGCUCCGGUGCCAGGAGCUGUGGUUUGACAUUUGCUCGGCGACGAGAAAUCCCCUGAGGGUCAAAAGCAGGGCUUGUGGCCGGGCACUGUCCUCUGAUGAGCAGAUACCUAGAGGAGCACUUCUUAUCUCUGCUCCACAAAUCUGUUUUCCACUGAAGGAAGCAGGCUUUAUCCAGAGUAAUCUGGCCAGAUGCCUGGAAGUCCCAAACCUGACCGUAGCAAAUAGCCGAAGGUUGAGAAAGUGCAGCGCUAUCACAGAGGCCAUAAAAGCACCGAAGAAUGUCAUGCAGAGUCGUAGACAUUUGGGAAACUGAGAAAAGCAUAAAGAAGUGCACACCAGUGAUGACGGCUCUGAUCUAGCUCCCCAUCAUCUUUGUCUUACCUGGAUAUUGUCACAGCUUCCUGGCUGCUCCCCCUGCCUUAAUCUCUCCCCAGCCCAGCAGCCAGAGGAAUCCUGCUGAAAUGGUGAUCACAUCAUGUCGUCCUCCGAAUUUCCAUGUUCCCACUUCACCCAGAAUAAAAGCCAGAGCACUUACAAGGCCCUGUGCCCCGCUCAGACCCCCCUGACCAACACUGCUUUCUCACUGCCCUGUAAUCAUGGCCCCUAAAUGUCUCCUCCCUCACCUCUCAGGUCUUAUUUCAAAUGGUGUCUUUUCAGAGAGGCCUUCAUGCCCACCUCUGUACAGUCAGGGGCCCUCUUCUCUGCUGUGCCGUCAUCCCAUAUACUAGAGUUUAUCUUGUUUAUUAUCUGUCUUCUCCAUAAAGGCAGAGCUUUCUAUCUGG